GUUUAAAGGUAAUACAACACAUCAGGUAUCCACUUCCUGUCAGAAAAUGUCUCAGGGUUUUGCCUGCCAAAUGAGUUCUGUUAUACUCAGACACCAUUCAAACAGUUUUAGAAAAUUUAGGGUGUUUUCUAUCCAUAUAUAAUAAGUAUAUGCAUAUUCUAGUUACUGGGUAGGAUUAGUAACCAGAUUAAAUCGGGUACAUUUUUUUUAUCCAGCCGUGCAAAUACUGCCCCCUAGCCCCAACAGGUUAAUCUAACCACACUGUCCGAUUUCAAAAAAGCUUUACAACGAAAGCAAAACAUUAGAUUAUGUCAGCAGACUACCCAGCCAGAAAUAAUCAGACACCCAUUUUUCAAGCUAGCAUAUAAUGUCACAUAAACCCAAACCACAGCUAAAUGUAGCACUAACCUUUGAUGAUCUUCAUCAGAUGACAACCCUAGGACAUUAUGUUAUACAAUA
rnacentral:lncRNA from 1 species